rnacentral:misc_RNA from 1 species
UGUCAGCUAUUAGUGAAUUUAAGAAUCUGGUAAUCAGUUUCGUAAACGGUUUCCUUUGAAUAAUGUUAAAAUCCGGAAAUUUCGAUAGCAUCGUAAAUAUAGAUAACAAUAUCCACCAUUAUUCUUGUAAAACCACUAAUAUGAUAAGUACAAGAUUUUUUUAAAAGCGAAGUUUGGUAACUUGUUGAAUCCAAUCGAUGAAUUUAGUGACUCGGGUGAACACGCCAGGUUUAUUACUGGGACAAUAUCCGUCUCCAUAGCUAACGAUUCCGAUUUGAAGAGGGACAUUAUUUUUGAAUACGAUCAACGGGCCGCCGCUAUCACCCUGCAUUUCCAGUAAAACCAAUAAAGUUCCGGAUUUUUAAGCAAAAAAUUGCGAAAAAAGAGGUAACGACAGGAUGAUUUACCUGACAUGCGUCUUGAUGGUAUGAGGCUGAAGUGCAUAUGUGUUUCUCCGUUACAGCCCAAUGCGAGGAGCAUUCGUCAUUCGAAAUAAUUGGUAGAAGCGCGUACUUUAGUCUUUUCGUUCCACCUCCGGUAG